AAACAAAUCACAAAUGAAUAGAGAACGAGAAGGAUGUAUAAUUAUGUAGUU
rnacentral:guide_RNA from 1 species